AACAAGGCGUACCUGCGGACCUGCGGAGGGAUCAUUACAAGUGACCCCGGUUUACCACCGGGAUGUUCAUAACCCUUUGUUGUCCGACUCUGUUGCCUCCGGGGCGACCCUGCCUUCGGGCGGGGGCUCCGGGUGGACACUUCAAACUCUUGCGUAACUUUGCAGUCUGAGUAAACUUAAUUAAUAAAUUAAAACUUUUAGCAAUGGAUCU
rnacentral:misc_RNA from 1 species